rnacentral:rRNA from 1 species
GACGAACGCUGGCGGCGUGCUUAACACAUGCAAGUCGAACGGAAAGGCCCUGCUUUUGUGGGGUGCUCGAGUGGCGAACGGGUGAGUAACACGUGAGUAACCUGCCCUUGACUUUGGGAUAACUUCAGGAAACUGGGGCUAAUACCGGAUAGGAGCUCCUGCUGCAUGGUGGGGGUUGGAAAGUUUCGGCGGUUGGGGAUGGACUCGCGGCUUAUCAGCUUAUUGGUGGGGUAGUGGCUUACCAAGGCUUUGACGGGUAGCCGGCCUGAGAGGUUGACCGGCCACAUUGGGACUGAGAUACGGCCCAGACUCCUACGGGAGGCAGCAGUGGGGAAUAUUGCACAAUGGGCGGAAGCCUGAUGCAGCAACGCCGCGUGCGGGAUGACGGCCUUCGGGUUGUAAACCGCUUUCGCCUGUGACGAAGCGUGAGUGACGGUAAUGGGUAAAGAAGCACCGGCUAACUACGUG